UAACUGAACAUUCUUAGAGCAU
rnacentral:miRNA from 1 species